ACCCCUUCUUUACAGUUGUGUGUUGCAGCUGCUACUACUCCUUCAGAAACCUAUCCUUUUUUUUCCCUCAACUUAUUUUCUCACGCGCUGCUGCAUCUACUCGACCGGCGGUAAAUACCCGGUUUCUUCUUCCUUCCCUUCCCUCUCCUCCAUUAAGGAAAGAAAAAAAAACCCAAAAAAUAGAAAAACUUUGAAAAAAAG